UUUAAGGUCGGCAUCUGCGUCUGGACCACAGAGCUGUUUGUCUCUGCUACUCGGAGUGCUGCGGGGUGGUCUGCAGUCACAGGUGGGCUGUGCCUCAAGGGUUAGGCUUCCUGACAGCACCCUGAUUCUGUCAGGAGCCACCCAGUAUCUCCAAAGGUGUCUGAGACGGUGGGGGGACUGAUUGCCCAUGACCAGGUGGUGUAGGGAGAGCUGGAGCGGCAGUGGCUCCAUCGGUCACUCCUCACUGAGGAACAGGUCAGGAGUGGCCCUGAGCAUCUGCGCAGUGGCCCUCCCAGCAGAGCCUAUGGUGCUGGGCAGAGGAGGGUCCUGACCCUGAGGUGGGGAAGCUUGGGCACCUGGGAAGGACGCGUGCAGGUGGGGUGUGGCUCUGGGGCCUGGGGCUGCCCACCCUAAUAGCAGGGACCAGAAUGCAGAGGGUGAGGGUUGGGUGAACUGGGGAGGCCCUCCUGGGGGGGGUGGUGGCCCAUUGAGUGCCCAGGCCUCCAGCGCUGGGAUGAACAGCACCUGCAGACCCCCUGAGCCUGGCAGAGCCCCCUCCCCAGGGCUUACCCUCCUGUUCCCAGGCUCGCAGCCUGGCUCUGUGUUCUGGAGCAGACACCUUCUCUGUGAUGAGUUCACCUUCGGGCACACUUCCUGGCAGCAAGGUCUUUCCAGCUUCAGGUCAGUGAGGAAGGGUUCCUUUUCCAGACAGGCCCCCAGCCCCUGACUUCUGGGUCCUCCAGCCUCCACUUAGGCUGGUCCAGCUAGAACGUAGUCAGGAUUUGGCAAAAUCAGACACACACAAACAAAGUAAUUCUCUCUUGGGGCAAAACAGAAGGCACAGGACAACCUGGUGGAAAAUGAGUCGUAAAACUUAAAAAACAUUUAAAAUGUCUCUCAGCCACAACGGAAGAGAACUGAAGCUCCACACAGAUUCCAGGACAAGGGAGGGGAUGAGACACGACCCUCGGAGUCAUCGGGUCCCAGGCAGAUCGGCUGUCAGAGCUCACUUCUCUGGGGUUUCGAGCUGACGGUGCAGCCGCCCACGUCAAAUGCAGACUCAGUCUGGAGACCAUCCCCAUUUCUGUGGCCAGCGGAGCCCCAAGCAAGUCAGAUCUGUGCCACAGACGUGCAGGCCAAACGAUGUUUCUUUACAGGUCCAUGGGGGUGUAUCUCCUCUCCGACUGCACCACAGUGGCCGAGCCCUGAGCUGGUCAUGUGUUGGAUGAAGCGCUAUGGCUUCAUCACGCCCAACCGCGGCAGGCAGGGGACAUCACUGGCAUUGACGAUACAGCCGGGGACCUGGGUUCAGCUAUGAGUCCACAGCUGAAUGCCUCUGUUGACACAGGGCCCCUUAGAAACAACACCAGAUGAAUGCUGGGCCUUUCUCUUCAUGCCUGUUUCAGCUCUCAGGUGACAAGGCACAUGUGCUUUCCAGAGAAGUGUUGGGAAGACGUGGGGAAGAAUUAAAAGGGGAGAAAACACCAGAUGUAUUGCAAACAGAAUGCAUUUUACAGCGAACACCUGUCCGACCCACUAAGAACUGCCAG